GCAAGUUUCCCACGCAGAAUAGUGGAAAAUACUAUUAAUAAUAAAAUAAAGUUACACAUGCAGAAUAGUAUAAAAUACAUAGCAGUUAUGAUAUGUUAAGAAUCACGCAUGCAGAAUAGUGCAUCCAGGGACAAGCUAUCACAAUUAAUUGAUUGUUUCAGUUUCUAUCCAUGACACAGGAAGCCACCAUGGACAAAAACAGAGGAAACAAUAAAUACUAUUUAUAAUAAAAAUAAUAGCGGAGAAUUGAUGAGUGACGGAAACUGCACGGUUUAAACUACAUGUGAAUGGCUUCAUGAACAUACAUAUAAACAUAACAACGGUCGAAUAAACUAACAUUUUCAAAGCAGGAGUUCAACGAAGUGGCCUUCCAGAUGCAGAGAGAGAAGUGUCCCUGGCAGGUCAAAGGUCAACGGGCUGCUGGCCCUCUGGCUAAAGCGCUGUCUACGCGUCCUUCUGGGUGUUCACAGCUCUCAGGGCCUCGUCCUCCGGGGCUGAGCGUACACACACUCGUCCACAUUGGUCUCCAGCGUCCGCCUGGGGCCUGGAGCCACCCUGACCGCCCCGUACUCCACCUCACUCUCCCCCUGCCCUCCCGGUUGCCCCGGAGACGUUAACGUACAGCACAUCAUCAUCUACCGCCAUGGUGGACAGCGCGAUGUCUGAACAAACAGAACAUUAGAAAAUGAGAGAACAGCACGGGAAGUAAAGCUUGUGUUGAACAGUUGACACAAAGAGACACUUGGUACCUCGAGGUCUGGAGGUUUUCUUCUUCUUUAGUGCCCAGUAGACUCCCAAUGCUGCUAGGAGCAGCAGCACCACCGUCAGAGAACGAGCGAUGAACGGGGUGCGGUCUGGGACUGAGGAAAGAAGAAGUUAGUCAGAGUCUGGUCCAACAGCUGUCUCAGGGCAUAAGGUAACGUUGUCUCUGUGCACCCACUGUGAUAUAUGUGUUCCAUUAGAUGUACAGUUUACAUAUAUCAACCCUAUGAGAGACAAUGGUGACCGGUCAUGUGAUGAAUCAACUGCUACUGAAUCCAAGCUCCAUUCAUUCAUUUCCCUCGUUGUGUUUGUCACUCACCGUCACACACAGACAAGGUGAUGUUAGCCGCGGCGUGGCUCACGUUGUUGCGGACCGAGCAGGUGAGCAGUCCCGACCGGCCCGGCUCCAGAGUGACGUCACUAGCGCUACUGGGUCCGGAGAGGAGACGCGUGUCGUUCAGCGGGAGUCCGUCUAGACUCCAGCUGUAGUGGAGUCCGUCCCCCCCGGCAGAGCAGGACACCCUCUGCUGUCCCCGGGACAGACACUCCCGGGACAGGAGGGGAGAGGAGACCGGGGCUAAGGGAAACCGACUGAGGAGGUGAGUCUCACAGUUUGACUGAACAGAAACCUUCUGUUAUUCACUCAUAGAAACUUAACUUCAUACAAUUAUAAUAUAAAGUAUCCACCUCUUUAACCCCCCUGCUCCUACUCCCAGACUAACUAGUGUUUACUGUACUUUACAUAUUUCAUGCCGACAUAGGCCAACACAAAUUGGGCAUAGCAAAUGCCCCCUCUUUAAAUGUUGACAGCAUUAACCUAAUAAAUGGGCAGAGGGACUGUUUAAAGAGUACAUAGAAAAGGCCUUAAAAACAGUCACAAAGCACAGUAUGGCAUGUGCCGUUACCAAUCAUGUUAACAUGGAGCCUGAGAGCCAACAGUGUUUCUAUAAGAGCUAUGAAGUCAGAGGUUAAUGUCUGAAUUAUCCUUAAUAACUGAUGUUAAACGCUUCACUCUUAUCUUUAAUUUUGUUUACCAAUCAUUAGAUGAAGCAUCAAAUGUUACUGAAAUAUUGAUAAAGCUACUCACCU